rnacentral:rRNA from 1 species
UCAGAUUGAACGCUGGCGGCAGGCCUAACACAUGCAAGUCGAGCGGUAGAGAGAAGCUUGCUUCUCUUGAGAGCGGCGGACGGGUGAGUAAAGCCUAGGAAUCUGCCUGGUAGUGGGGGAUAACGUUCGGAAACGGACGCUAAUACCGCAUACGUCCUACGGGAGAAAGCAGGGGACCUUCGGGCCUUGCGCUAUCAGAUGAGCCUAGGUCGGAUUAGCUAGUUGGUGAGGUAAUGGCUCACCAAGGCGACGAUCCGUAACUGGUCUGAGAGGAUGAUCAGUCACACUGGAACUGAGACACGGUCCAGACUCCUACGGGAGGCAGCAGUGGGGAAUAUUGGACAAUGGGCGAAAGCCUGAUCCAGCCAUGCCGCGUGUGUGAAGAAGGUCUUCGGAUUGUAAAGCACUUUAAGUUGGGAGGAAGGGCAGUUACCUAAUACGUGAUUGUUUUGACGUUACCGACAGAAUAAGCACCGGCUAACUCUGUGCCAGCAGCCGCGGUAAUACAGAGGGUGCAAGCGUUAAUCGGAAUUACUGGGCGUAAAGCGCGCGUAGGUGGUUUGUUAAGUUGGAUGUGAAAUCCCCGGGCUCAACCUGGGAACUGCAUUCAAAACUGACUGACUAGAGUGUGGUAGAGGGUGGUGGAAUUUCCUGUGUAGCGGUGAAAUGCGUAGAUAUAGGAAGGAACACCAGUGGCGAAGGCGACCACCUGGACCAACACUGACACUGAGGUGCGAAAGCGUGGGGAGCAAACAGGAUUAGAUACCCUGGUAGUCCACGCCGUAAACGAUGUCAACUAGCCGUUGGGAGCCUUGAGCUCUUAGUGGCGCAGCUAACGCAUUAAGUGACCGC